UGGAAAGGAAGUCGGGCGCAGACACAAAAUAAAACAUCCGGCUUCUUUUCCAAAUAAAACACUACAUGUUUCGGUAGAUCGUAUUUCACACCAUGCAAACGCAAAAUCAUUUGCGUCAUUUUGUUUCCACAAAAGUGUCUGACCUACUGGUCUGGACAGUGGAUCUCCUCCUCUGGAAGGACACAAUCUACUGCUUAUAUGGUUGUUUGGCUGUCUUUAAACAGACAACUCGUUAUCGCGUGAUUGCAUGAGAAUAUACAGGUUUCGCCUCAAAAACGUGUUCGGUAGGAAUUGGCGGACGGCUAAAAUCGCCACCAUUUCACAGCGAUGGAAAUUUGGGGUUAAAGUUUGUGAGGAUACCACAAAACUGAAUUAUGUCACAUGAUUUAAGGUUUAAAAAUAUUUUAUUUUAACUAAAUUUAAGUGUCUGGAUAGAGUUGGAUCAAAGGGUCGCGGUAUGGGGAUGAAUUCGGGUCGAGAAAUGGGCAAAAGAGGGUUGAGUGGGGUGCCAAGACUUAAGAUGAGAGAUGAGAGGAGGUGUUGAGAACUGAGACAAAUGAGAGACAAAGGGUUUGACAGGUUUAUAAAGACACACAGUUGGAGGAGAUACUGAGCUGCAGGUGGUCAAAUCAGUUACCUGGGCCUGGUCCUGUUCCUGAACCUCUGUCACACUAACUACAUGAAAUAAUGAGAUAAUGAGCACCAUGAGAAACAACUAUAAUGAAAAAAUAUUCAAAGACAAAUUAUUGUGAAGGUUAGAUUUUGAGGUGCUCUGAUAUAGAAAUCCUUUCAUACACAGGGACACGUGUGCACGUUUCAACUGAAUAAUCUGAGUCUUCAUCUUGACAUGGAGGAGGAGGAGCUUAUUUACCUUUUACACUGAUUGAUGACGGUGCAAAAUGGACACUCUUGUCCUCAGUCUUCAUAUUCAACCAUGGUUAACAAACUAUAAGCUUCUAUAUGCAUGUGUUUCUAUCACAGAAGGGGUAAAACAAACUUUUUCAAUCGAAUCUGCAGCUUUCAACUUCAUUAGGACAAUUGUCUGCAGAGAAUUGACACACCUGUCAAGAGUUCCACUUACCAGUUCGGUGCGAGCCCAAAUGUGCAUGCUCAUUGGUUAAAAACAAGAAAGUAGCACUUCAGCAGUACAAGGUAAUAAAAGGGAGAGUUUAAAAGAAAGUUGAAAGGUUUUUACUAGGACAACAACAACCUCUUCUCUAGAGAAAACAACCAAACCAAGCCUGGAGUAUCCAAAGAGCAUGUUUACGUGACAGACGCACAAACCCAGCCGCUCCUCUGCUCCUUUUGUCAUCAGCUUCUGUCGCCAUUGAUGCUCACAGAGAGAAAAGAGGGCAGAGGUGGAUCACAGCCGUGUAAAGGAGGAACUGACAGCCUUUAUUAUCGACACGCUCUUUCUUACACUCGCUCGUUUCGGCAGCUAAGCCAGCGGAUGUUGUGUUUACCUGUUGUCGUCUGCUUGAGUCACAAGAUUUGUCACACAUCUCACACGGUGUUUGUUACGCCCCAGUCUAGGGGUGCCUAGGGCACAACAUGAGAAGGCCUCAUCAUCCCCAAGUCCCAAG